UACGUAGGGUGCAAGCGUUAAUCGGAAUUACUGGGCGUAAAGCGUGCGCGGGCGGUUUUGUAAGUCUGUCGUGAAAGCCCCGGGCUCAACCUGGGAAUUGCGAUGGAGACUGCAAGGCUUGAAUCUGGCAGAGGGGGGUAGAAUUCCACGUGUAGCAGUGAAAUGCGUAGAGAUGUGGAGGAACACCGAUGGCGAAGGCAGCCCCCUGGGUCAAGAUUGACGCUCAUGCACGAAAGCGUGGGGAGCAAACAGG
rnacentral:rRNA from 1 species